AUUGAACGCUGGCGGCAUGCCUUACACAUGCAAGUCGAACGGUAACAGGUCUUCGGAUGCUGACGAGUGGCGAACGGGUGAGUAAUACAUCGGAACGUGCCCGAGAGUGGGGGAUAACGAGGCGAAAGCUUUGCUAAUACCGCAUACGAUCUCAGGAUGAAAGCAGGGGACCGCAAGGCCUUGCGCUCACGGAGCGGCCGAUGGCAGAUUAGGUAGUUGGUGGGAUAAAAGCUUACCACGCCGACGAUCUGUAGCUGGUCUGAGAGGACGACCAGCCACACUGGGACUGAGACACGGCCCAGACUCCUACGGGAGGCAGCAGUGGGGAAUUUUGGACAAUGGGCGCAAGCCUGAUCCAGCCAUGCCGCGUGCAGGAUGAAGGCCUUCGGGUUGUAAACUGCUUUUGUACGGAACGAAAAGACUUCUUCUAAUAAAGGGGGUCCAUGACGGUACCGUAAGGAUAAGCACCGGCUAACUACGUGCCAGCCGCCGCCGUAACAC
rnacentral:rRNA from 1 species